rnacentral:rRNA from 1 species
UCGAGAAUCUUCCGCAAUGGGCGAAAGCCUGACGGAGCGACGCCGCGUGGUGGAUGAAGCACUUUGGUGCGUAAACACCUUUUAUGAGGGAGGCGUUACCUCAUGAAUAAGGGGCUCCCAACUCUGUGCCAGCAGGAGCGGUAAUACAGAGGCCCCAAGCAUUAUCCGGAUUCACUGGGGUAAAGGGUGCGUAGGCGGUGUGAUUAGUCAGGUGUAAAUCCUGGGGCUUAACCUCAGAAUCGCAUUUGAAACGGUCAUACUAAAGAAGUCAGAGGUAAACAGAACUCUCGGUGUAGGGGUGAAAUCCGUUGAUAUCGAGGGGAAUACCAAAUGCGAAGGCAGUUUACUGGGACUUUCUUGACGCUGAGGCACGAAAGCGUGGGUAGCGAAUCGGAUUAGAUACCCCAGUAGU